rnacentral:rRNA from 1 species
AACGGCCGUACCAUGCUGAAUAUACCGGUUCUCGUUAGAUCACCGAAGUUAAGCAUCAUUGGGCGCGGUCAACGUACUUUUGGGUGACCACCUGGGAACACUGCGUGCCGUU